CUAACACAUGCAAGUCGAACGGUAACAGGAAGCAGCUUGCUGCUUUGCUGACGAGUGGCGGACGGGUGAGUAAUGUCUGGGAAACUGCCUGGUGGAGGGGGAUAACUACUGGAAACGGUAGCUAAUACCGCAUAACGUCGCAAGACCAAAGAGGGGGACCUUCGGGCCUCUUGCCAUCGGAUGUGCCCAGAUGGGAUUAGCUAGUAGGUGGGGUAACGGCUCACCUAGGCGACGAUCCCUAGCUGGUCUGAGAGGAUGACCAGCCACACUGGAACUGAGACACGGUCCAGACUCCUACGGGAGGCAGCAGUGGGGAAUAUUGCACAAUGGGCGCAAGCCUGAUGCAGCCAUGCCGCGUGUAUGAAGAAGGCCUUCGGGUUGUAAAGUACUUUCAGCGGGGAGGAAGGGAGUAAAGUUAAUACCUUUGCUCAUUGACGUUACCCGCAGAAGAAGCACCGGCUAACUCCGUGCCAGCAGCCGCGGUAAUACGGAGGGUGCAAGCGUUAAUCGGAAUUACUGGGCGUAAAGCGCACGCAGGCGGUUUGUUAAGUCAGAUGUGAAAUCCCCGGGCUCAACCUGGGAACUGCAUCUGAUACUGGCAAGCUUGAGUCUCGUAGAGGGGGGUAGAAUUCCAGGUGUAGCGGUGAAAUGCGUAGAGAUCUGGAGGAAUACCGGUGGCGAAGGCGG
rnacentral:rRNA from 1 species